GACAAGUGUUCCCAUGUUUUUCUUUGGAUUUUUGGCUUGAGACUUUGAUGCUUUCUUUGGUGUCAUCACUGUGCUUGUUUUUUUGAAUUUUUUUGAGGAUUUGGCGAUGUGUAGAAUAGUUCUCGAGCGUUUCUUUGAUUUGGGUUUUCGUUUUGACGUUUCUUGUGAUUUUCUCAGCGAUGUUUAACUGGAACGACGAAGAGCUUACAGAUAUAAUAUGGGAUGAGGCUGGUGAGAGUGAUGACCAUAUUGUGCCCUAUCCAGAGGCAAGUGAAGAGUAUUCCAAGAAUCAGUGGAGUCAAGAAGCUAAUAACUCUAAGUUUAAUGAACAUAAGGCACCUGGCGCUAAAGUUGAUAUCCAUGGCAGGAAAGUGGACGGCAAUUUAAACUUUGACUCCAGUGAAGGACCUUCUGCCAUUGGAUUUGGCAUAGACUCAUGGCCUAACCUGUCCUUAUCAACUGUUGCCAAAGCUGAUCAGGAUUCCUUGGAUACGUCAGUAUCUAACAAUUUAACUGAAAUUACAAAAUUUGAUUCUUCCGGAGGUG
rnacentral:misc_RNA from 1 species